AUUGAACGCUGGCGGCAUGCUUUACACAUGCAAGUCGUGCGGCAGCGCGGGACUCAGGCAACUGAGCCCUGGCGGCGAGCGGCGGACGGGUGAGUAAUGCAUCGGAACGUAUCCCGUAGUGGGGGACAACCCAGCGAAAGCUGGGCUAAUACCGCAUCUGCUCUACGGAGGAAAGCAGGGGACUCGCAAGGGCCUUGUGCUAUGGGAGCGGCCGAUGUCCGAUUAGCUAGUUGGUGGGGUAAAGGCCUACCAAGGCGACGAUCGGUAGCUGGUCUGAGAGGAUGAUCAGCCACACUGGGACUGAGACACGGCCCAGACUCCUACGGGAGGCAGCAGUGGGGAAUUUUGGACAAUGGGGGCAACCCUGAUCCAGCCAUGCCGCGUGCGGGAAGAAGGCCUUCGGGUUGUAAACCGCUUUUGGUCGGGAAGAAAAGGCUCUCUCUAAUACAGGGGGCCAUUGACGGUACCGGCAGAAUAAGCACCGGCUAACUACGUGCCAGCCGCCGCCGUAAAAC
rnacentral:rRNA from 1 species